rnacentral:rRNA from 1 species
CCUACGGGAGGCAGCAGUGGGGAAUAUUGCACAAUGGGGGCAACCCUGAUGCAGCGACGCCGCGUGAGCGAUGAAGGAUUUCGGGAUGUAAAGCUAUAUCAGCAGGGAAGAAAAUGACGGUAUCUGACUAAGAAGCGCCGGCUAACUACGUGCCAGCAGCCGCGGGAAUACGUAGGGGGCAAGCGUUAUCCGGAUUUACUGGGUGUAAAGGGAGCGUAGACGGCUCGGCAAGUCAGAUGUGAAAGGCUGGGGCUCAACCUCGGAACUGCAUUUGAAACUGUCAUGCUAGAGUGUCGGAGAGGCAGGCGGAAUUCCUAGUGUAGCGGUGAAAUGCGUAGAUAUUAGGAGGAACACCAGUGGCGAAGGCGGCCUGCUGGACGAUGACUGACGUUGAGGCUCGAAAGCGUGGGGAGCAAACAGGAUUAGAUACCCUGGUAGUC